UACGUAGGGUGCAAGCGUUGUCCGGAAUUAUUGGGCGUAAAGAGCUCGUAGGCGGUUUGUUGCGUCGGCUGUGAAAUCCCGAGGCUCAACCUCGGGUCUGCAGUCGAUACGAGCAAACUAGAGUGUUGCAGGGGAGACUGGAAUUCCUGGUGUAGCGGUGAAAUGCGCAGAUAUUAGGAGGAACACCGAUGGCGAAGGCAGGUCUCUGGGCCACUACUGACGCUGAGAAGCGAAAGCAUGGGGAGCGAACAGG
rnacentral:rRNA from 1 species